GACGAACGCUGGCGGCGUGCUUAACACAUGCAAGUCGAACGGAAAGGCCCUGCUUUUGUGGGGUGCUCGAGUGGCGAACGGGUGAGUAACACGUGAGUAACCUGCCCUUGACUUUGGGAUAACUUCAGGAAACUGGGGCUAAUACCGGAUAGGAGCUCCUGCUGCAUGGUGGGGGUUGGAAAGUUUCGGCGGUUGGGGAUGGACUCGCGGCUUAUCAGCUUGUUGGUGGGGUAGUGGCUUACCAAGGCUUUGACGGGUAGCCGGCCUGAGAGGGUGACCGGCCAAAUUGGGAAUGAGAUACGGGCCAGACUCCUAAGGGAGGCAGCAGUGGGGAAUAUUGGAAAAAGGGCGGAAGCCUGAUGCAGCAACGCCGCGUGCGGGAUGACGGCCUUCGGGUUGUAAACCGCUUUCGCCUGUGACGAAGCGUGAGUGACGGUAAUGGGUAAAGAAGCACCGGCUAACUACGUG
rnacentral:rRNA from 1 species